rnacentral:misc_RNA from 1 species
UUGACAAUCGUUCACUCUCCUUGCAUAACGAGUCAGGCAGGGCCAGUACCCAAAUAAACCUUCACAAAGAUCCAUUGCUUCCAACCCAUACCCAGAUGGAAUUUCAGGCACUGACACUUUUUUCUCAUACUCAUAUAUGUUGCCAUACCCAGACCAAGGAGAGUGAUCAUCACCAUACUUUUCCUUGCUUUCCUCUCCAGGAUACAAGUCUAAAGGCUCCCUCUGAGAAUUGCCAUGGUCAUGGUCAUAUUCACGUAGCUGCUGCUGCUCUGUCUCGUUGAUGGCGGGUGGUUGUGGUUGG